GAAAGAUCUAAUGCAGCCUGUGCAGCCCUUGAUAAGAAGCAAAGGAGCUUUGACAAGGUGGCCCAGACUGCUUAAACUUGAGCGUUUUACUUGGUCUUUGUUUCUCCCUGCGUCAGCUAAUGAUUUAUUGCUUUUCAGGUCCUAACAGAGUGGAAAUAGAAGUAUGAGUAAACUCAGGCUGAACUUGAGGCCUCCCAGAAGGAGUCCCGUUCUCCUAGCACUGAGCUGUUCAAGGUGAAGAAUGCAUACAAGGAAUCCCUGGAUCAACCUGAAACGCUAAGAAGAGAAAAUAAGAACUUACAACAUUGAGUCCUCACAGUCCUUCCUACCCCAUAUAUCCCUGAGAGGACCUUUCCCUGUUGCCAUUUUUCUGACCAUGUCUCUCAUCUGUUCAACCACAGAGGAGAUUUCUGACCUCACUGAGCAGAUUGCAGAGGGAAGAAAGCAAAUUCAUGAAUUAGAGAAAAUAAAGAAGCAAGUAGAACAAGAGAAAUGUGAAAUCCAGGCUGCUUUUGAGGAAGCAGAGGCAUCUCUUGAACAUGAAGAAGGAAAGAUUCUCCAUAUCCAGCUUGAGUUAAACCAAGUCUGAAGUUGAUAGAAAAAUUGCAGAAAAAGAUGAGGAAAUUGAUUAGCUGAAGAGAAACCACAUUAGAGUCGUGGAGACAAUGCACAGCACACUGGGUGCAGAGAUUAGAGGCAGAAAUGAUGCUCUGAGAGUCAAGAAGAAAAUGGAAGGAGAUCUGAAUGAAACGGAAAUCCAGCUGAACCAUGCCAAUCACUUAGCUUCAGAGAGAUUAAGGAAUUACAGGAACACCCAAGGAAUCUUGGUAAGGAAUCAAGGAAACCCAGCUCCACCUGGAUGAUGCUCUCGGGGCCAGGAGGACCUGAAGGAGCCGCUGGCGAUCAUGGAGAGCAGAGCCAACCUGCUGCAGGCUGAGAUUAUGGGGCUGCGGGCCACUCUGGAACAGACAGAGAGGAGCAGGAAAAUCACAGAACAGGAGCUCCUGGAUGCCAGUGAGUGUGUCCAGCUCCUCCACACCCAGAAUACCAGCCUCAUCAGCACCAAGAAGAAAUUAGAAAAUGACAUUUCCCAACUCCAAAGUGAAAUGGAAGAAGUAAUCCAAGAAUCAUGCAAUGCAGAAGAGAAAGCCAAGAAGGCCAUCCCAGAUGUGAGCAAGAUGAACAUUUGUCUUACUGACACACACAGGGUCCAGAGCCAAAACCUAUGUGCCAAAGUGGCAUGGCCUUGGCAUCUGCCCAGGGACUUGGCCACAACUCGCUGUUGUGGGCUCAGCAGAGCUCAAGGACCGCCCCCUCAAGAAGGAAAGAGGGAAGGAGUCACAGGGCUGUUUCCUAAAUGCCGGGGCCAGUUUAAUUCUCACAAGCUCUCAUUUGACGGAGAGAGUUAGUGCCUUAUAAAAGGGCUGGGUGAACUAGCUGAGAUCACUAGUGUGAGUCACUUGGCCAGUCUUUGUUGUUGACUUUUAGACGGUGUCUGCAUAUCCUGGAUAUUAAUCUUUAUCAGAUAUACUAUUUGCAGAUAUUUUCUCCCAUAUUGUGGGCUGCCUUUCUACUCUGUUGAUUCUGCCCAAAACUUCUCUUUACUCAUAGAACAAAGGUUGUGUCUCUCUAAGCCAAGUGUGUUCCCUUUGCUUCUCUCCAUGGAAACAACAGUAUUAUCAUUCUACUCGUGUAUUCAGAGAACUCCUAUUCACUCUUCAAAAUCCACCUCAACAGUCCUCAACUCAGGGAAGCCUUGUCUGUCAGGCCCCUCCUCUGCCAAAACUAAUUAAAUAAAACAUUUAAAUAAAAUGUAGGCAAGCCCUUUGCCCAGUGU
rnacentral:lncRNA from 1 species